rnacentral:rRNA from 1 species
GGGAAUACCCGUACAGUUCGUGAAAUCGCGACGAUCUCUCAGUCGCAUUCUGCCACUUUUGUGUUUAUAUGUGAGACCAGACAAAAAGCAGAUAAGAUGAAGAGAAUCCGUGGUAGACUCGGACUAAAGGGUUUUGAAGGAGUGGAUAGCAACGGCUUGAGUGGUGGUUUAGCGCUGUACUGGCAUGAAACAUGUGUGGUUGAUAUUUUAGAUAAGGAUGAUCGGUUCAUCGAUGCCUUGGUGCGAGUUAAUCCCGAUGCUGGGCAGUGGAGGCUGACUUGUGUAUAUGGUGAGCCACGUUUUGAACAAGACACGCGAUGUGGACAUAUAGAAGAGUGUGUGCGAUCUACCAUGGUUGGUUGUCGGUGA